rnacentral:rRNA from 1 species
GAUGAACGCUAGCUACGGGCUUAACACAUGCAAGUCGAGGGGAAACGAUAUUGGAAGCUUGCUUCCGAUAGGCGUCGACCGGCGCACGGGUGAGUAACGCGUAUCCAACCUGCCCACCACUUGGGGAUAACCUUGCGAAAGUAAGACUAAUACCCAACGAUAUCCAUAGAAGACAUCUGAAAUGGAUUAAAGAUUUAUCGGUGAUGGAUGGGGAUGCGUCUGAUUAGCUUGUUGGCGGGGUAACGGCCCACCAAGGCGACGAUCAGUAGGGGUUCUGAGAGGAAGGUCCCCCACAUUGGAACUGAGACACGGUCCAAACUCCUACGGGAGGCAGCAGUGAGGAAUAUUGGUCAAUGGGCGAGAGCCUGAACCAGCCAAGUAGCGUGCAGGAUGACGGCCCUGUGGGUUGUAAACUGCUUUUAUAAGGGAAUAAAGUGGGAGUCGUGACUCCUUUUGCAUGUACCUUAUGAAUAAGGACCGGCUAAUUCCGUGCCAGCCGCCGCCGUAA